UACGGGGGGGGCAAGCGUUGUUCGGAAUUACUGGGCGUAAAGGGCUCGUAGGUGGCCAACUAAGUCAGACGUGAAAUCCCUCGGCUUAACCGGGGAACUGCGUCUGAUACUGGAUGGCUUGAGAUUGGGAGAGGGACGCGGAAUUCCAGGUGUAGCGGUGAAAUGCGUAGAUAUCUGGAGGAACACCGGUGGCGAAGGCGACGUCCUGGACCGGCAUUGACGCUGAGGCGCGAAAGCCAGGGGAGCAAACGGG
rnacentral:rRNA from 1 species